rnacentral:snRNA from 1 species
AUACUUACCUGGCGUAGAGGUAAACCGUGAUCAUGAAGGCGGUUCCUCCGGAGCGAGACUUGAUCAUUGCACAUCCGAUUGGGUUGACCUCUGCGAUUAUUCCUAAUGUGAAUAACUCGUUCGUGUAAUUUUUGGUAGCCGGGAAUGGCGUACGCGCCGUCCCGAC